AGCGAACGCUGGCGGCAGGCCUAACACAUGCAAGUCGAACGAAGUCUUCGGACUUAGUGGCGGACGGGUGAGUAACACGUGGGAACGUACCUUUUGGUUCGGAACAACUCAGGGAAACUUGAGCUAAUACCGGAUGAGCCCUUAGGGGGAAAGAUUUAUCGCCGAAAGAGCGGCCCGCGUUAGAUUAGCUAGUUGGUGAGGUAAAGGCUCACCAAGGCGACGAUCAAUAGCUGGUCUGAGAGGAUGAUCAGCCACACUGGGACUGAGACACGGCCCAGACUCCUACGGGAGGCAGCAGUGGGGAAUCUUGCGAAAUGGGCGAAAGCCUGACGCAGCCAUGCCGCGUGAAUGAUGAAGGUCUUAGGAUUGUAAAAUUCUUUUACCAGGGACGAUAAUGACGGUACCUGGAGAAAAAGCCCCGGCUAACUUCGUGCCAGCAGCCGCCGUAAGAC
rnacentral:rRNA from 1 species